GUUUGUCUUGGACACUGUUUAUAUCAUCCCAUAUGCUCUGCCUCAAUGCUUAUAUAGGAUUCCUUGGUAUGGUAUGUAAUAAUUUAAGUAUAACAUGUCCUCUUUGGUGGAUAUUUAACUUUUUCUCCCAAUUUUUUGCUAUUAUGAGCAAGGCCAUACACCUCUGGGCAUAUGUCAUUUUGUACAUUCUGGAUAUCUGAAGGUUAAAUGCCUGGAUGUGGAAUUGUUAGUUGUGGUUAUAUGGCACUCGCAAUUUUGGGAGAUGAGAUACUGAUUAACAGGUCCAUUAGCAAUGCAUCAAGGUAUCUACUAAUUUACAAAUCUAACAGCUAGGAAAUGGCAUAUCUUUUUAGUUCUAAUAUGUAUUUCCUUCAUGGUGUAUAAGAUGGAACAUCUUUUUAUACAUUUAAGAGCCAUUGGUAUUUUCUUUCUGUAAACUUUAUCCUCUUUACUAUCAGGUCAUUGGUCUUUUUAUUAUUGAUUUGUAAUAACUCUUAAUAUAUUAAAAAAUGUGUCUUUGUGACAUAACUAGCAGAUAUUUUUCAGUUUGUCACUUGUCAUUUAAUUUUAUUUGUGAGUUUUUUUGGUACUACAAAAAUUUUAAUUUGUGUC
rnacentral:lncRNA from 1 species